ACAAUAACUAAAUUAAAAUUUCUUCAUUUCUUCCAAUGCUUUCAUCUUGCUCAAGCUCAUUCUUUGGAAGCAGACCAAAUCAAAAUCACCACACAACCUAAAUUCCACCUUCCUCAAAUCACCAGACAACUUAAAUUCCACCUUCCUCAAAUCACCAGCAAACCUAAAUUCCCAAAUCCCCAAAUCUAUUUGUUAACCAAAAAUCCCUAAAAUUGCUAACCCAAAACUCCCAAAUCCCUAAAGUCCCGAACUCUAUUUGUUUUACUCGAAGGAAGAGAGAAAAUAUCACCGUAAACGUCGCUGCAAUCAGGUUUCCCCCUCUCUGCAACUCCUUUCUUCCAACAAUCCUCUCUCUUUUUUCUCUAGUUAUGUUUUUUUUUCGCGAUUCUCUCUAGCAAUCGGAAGAUUCAGAAUUUGAGCUCUCCAUAUCAAGAUUCUUCAUCUUGUUGCCUUUAGAACAAUUAUAACAUUGAACAUUGAAUUGGGCGUGAAUAUAAGUAAUUGGGAGGAACGUUGAACUUCAGUAGGUGAAACAACUUUGGUAGUAGUAGGGGUUGGAGAAGCUGCAAAUUUGGUGCGAUAAGGGCAGAGACUUUGGCUCCUCAUCUUAAAGUUAUUAUUGAAAAAGCCAAAUUUUUGUCAAAGGUGAUGUCCGCUUUUCUAAGUAGAAACACUAGAAAAUUUCUUCAUUUUCAUUUAAUAAAUGUAUUUAAAUGGUUUGGAUCCGAAUAAAUUUGAAUGAUUUACUUUUGUUUUAUUUUGGUUUUUUUUUUUUUGUGGGUUUCUUCUUGUUUGUUCAAUUUUUUGUCUCUAAAUAGUAAUAGAAUUGCUGGGUUAAUGCCUAAUUUAUGGAUAUUCCUAUAUGGUAAAAGGAUUUUGGAUGCCUAAUUACUCUCCAGAUUUUUUAAAUUUGUAAAUAUUCAGUUAUCUAUUCUUUAUUUUAUUAUAAUAUCAAUUGAGUUGUAUUUUCUGUUAGUUGGCUUAUCUAGCGGAUUGAGUUAGGUGUCAUCACGACUUGUGGUUUUUGGAUAGUGACAAAAUCCGGGCAUAUACCCAAGUCUAAAAUCAUCAUCCGACCUAACGGAAUUUUAAAAAUUCUGAUCCAAGGUCAAAUACACAAAAGUCAAACUUGGUCAACUUUUCCAACUUAAAACUUCCUAUUUAAGAAUCAUUCUUCCAAAUCAAGUCCGAACAACUCUAUAACCAAAAACCGACCAUACACGGAGUCUUAAUACACCAUAUGAAGCUACUCUUACAAGUUAUUCUUAUGAUAGAGCUGACAAUUGACGAUUAUGAGAUUACCGUGAUAAAGGGGCGACGUUCGUGCAUGUUCCCAUGUGAUAGGCGUAUAAAAGGCUCUGGAUGAUGAUUUGAAGGGUCCUCGUACCAUAUUCAUGACUCAUGCAAGUUGGACUGGUUGGUGUGAAAACUUCAUAUUCUUGUAUCUUCAUUCUUCACACACAUCCCGUGCUCCUGUACAAUCAAAGUUCCGAACUGGACGUUCUUGGAAACUUUACACAAACAAUGUUAGCUUUCUGCUACAAUUUAACUUGCUCUCGCUGUGUUAAUAAAUUUUAUAGGUAGUUCUCUUUGA